GAUGAACGCUGGCGGCGUGCUUAACACAUGCAAGUCGAACGGUGAAAGCGGAGCUUGCUCUGCUGGAUCAGUGGCGAACGGGUGAGUAACACGUGAGCAAUCUGCCCCUGACUCUGGGAUAAGCGCUGGAAACGGCGUCUAAUACUGGAUACGAGCUGCGAAGGCAUCUUCAGCAGCUGGAAAGAACUUCGGUCAGGGAUGAGCUCGCGGCCUAUCAGCUUGUUGGUGAGGUAACGGCUCACCAAGGCGUCGACGGGUAGCCGGCCUGAGAGGGUAACCUGCCAAACUGGGGCUGGGACACGGCCCAGACUCCUACGGGAGGCAGCAGUGGGGAAUAUUGCACAAUGGGCGCAAGCCUGAUGCAGCAACGCCGCGUGAGGGACGACGGCCUUCGGGUUGUAAACCUCUUUUAGCAGGGAAGAAGCGAAAGUGACGGUACCUGCAGAAAAAGCGCCGGCUAACUACGUGCCAGCAGCCGCCGUAA
rnacentral:rRNA from 1 species